CAUCUCUCAGGGUGAUCUGUGUACCAUUGCCCUGGUCAUGUACGCUGUACAUGAUACCUUAAGUGCUGUUAGAUAUCGUUUACGGGAAAUGAAAUAGCCCUGUGUGCAGUUUGCGUAAAUGUUUUAUUUAUUAACAAUAGCUCUUUUCUGUAAGUUGAAAUGAACGAAACCAACAAUGGUUAUGUCGCUGACAAGGUGCAGUACCACACACAUCUAUCAUAAAACUACCUGUAUUUUGGCUCGAGGACAACAUACUGUAGUCCCAACCAUGCAUGGGUAGUUUUUAAACACCACACUACCCAUUUAGCCUUAAUAAUAAAGCUGUAUUUAUUAUUUGGGACAUUUUCUACAAUUAUGCUUGUACCUCAAACUUCCUUCAGCAACUUAUAUGAAGUCAAAUCCAGUUUUAUUGGUCACAUACACAUGGUUAGCAGAUGUUAUUGUGAGUGUAGCGAAAUGUUUGUGCUUCUAGUUCCGACCGUGCCGCAAUAUUAACAAGUAAUCUAACAAUUACACAACAACUACCUAAUAUAUUUGUAUGUUUAAAUUAUUAAAUUAAUGUACAAUGUGUUAGAAAGCAGGCUUGAUUUACAUUAAGAUACAUUUGUUAAUCUUUAUGAUUGCCAGAUUUAUUCUGGUUUAUUGUGGUUCCAAGCAUUUUUAUUCGUGAAUCCACUAUAAUGAUCAUCACAUAAAAAUACAUAUAAAUAUCUCAUCACACAUUAUGUAUUUUGCAGCAAAAACAGAAGUGUCUGUAUGCUUAAGAAUGGUUUAUUUAAUGUCAAAUGUACUGUACAUGAUUUAGUGCCAUAUCUACUCCCAAACCAAACAUUCCAGUUGAUCUACUACCAAACCAAUCAUAGAGUUAUGUAAGAACACAGGGGAAGGCACAGCGUGGGUAAUGCUAUACUCCAACAUCAAAGGCCCUCUCGGUCAACACUCUCAAUACACUUAGUAAUUCCUUUGUACUCAAAUGAAUCCAUUGGUUCCUAUGAUGUCAAUUUGGGCUUGUCAUUGAAGUUGUACUUUUUCACCUGUUGACUGCUACUGUACAUACUGCACAUGAUUAUUAAGCAUACUGGAUUUUAGACUUGUCUGCCUUUAAAAAAGAG
ensembl:lncRNA